rnacentral:rRNA from 1 species
GACGAACGCUGGCGGCGUGCCUAAUACAUGCAAGUAGAACGCAGUUGAGAACGGGUGAGUAACGCGUAGGUAACUGCCUGGUCGCGGGGGCUAACUAUUGGAAACGAUAGCUAAUACCGCAUACUCACAGAUGGACCUGCGUUGUAGUAGCUAGUUGGUGGGGUAACGGCUCACCAAGGCAACGAUACAUGGCCGACCUGAAGGGGGGAUCGGCCACAACGGGACUGGGAACCGGCCCAGACGCCUGAGGGAGGCAGCAGGAGGGAAUCUUCGGCAAUGGACGGAAGGCUGACCGAGCAACGCCGCGGGAGUGAAGAAGGUUUUCGGAUCGUAAAGCUCUGUUGUAAGAGAAGCGGUAUCUUACCAGAAAGGGACGGCUAACUACGUGCCAGCAGCCGCGGUAAUUC